rnacentral:misc_RNA from 1 species
ACAAACUUGGUCAUUUAGAGGAAGUAAAAGUCGUAACAAGGUUUCCGUAGGUGAACCUGCGGAAGGAUCAUUACAGAGUUUGACAUCCCUUCGAUGUCUUCUCCCACCCUUUGUUAACUUAAACUUGUUGCUUUGACGAAUCGUCUUUUAAUUAAGCCUUCGGUUCCUAACCGAUCUGAAGUGUGUUCGUCAAAGGUUAAAACUUUAACUCUUUAAAAUCAUGAAAUCUGAGUUUAAAUUUUAAAAAAACAAAACUUUCAACAACGGAUCUCUUGGUUCUGGCAUCGAUGAAGAACGCAGC